rnacentral:rRNA from 1 species
GAUCAUGGCUCAGGAUGAACGCUGGCGGCGUGCCUAACACAUGCAAGUCGAGCGAUUCUCUUCGGAGAAGAGCGGCGGACGGGUGAGUAACGCGUGGGUAACCUGCCCUGUACACACGGAUAACAUACCGAAAGGUAUGCUAAUACGGGAUAACAUAAGAAAUUCGCAUUGUUUUUCUUAUACAAAGCCUCCGGCGGUACGAGGAUCGGACCCGCGUCUGUAUUAGCUUAGGUUGGUGAGGUAAUGG